rnacentral:rRNA from 1 species
AUUGAACGCUGGCGGCAGGCCUAACACAUGCAAGUCGAGCGAGCGGCGGACGGGUGAGUAUUGUCUGGGAAAAAGCCUGAUGGAGGGGGAUAACUGCUGGAAAAGGUAGCUAAUAAAGCACACCAUCAGGUGUGCGCAGAUGGGAUUAGCUAGUAGGUGGGGUAAAGGCUCACCUAGGCGACGAUCCCUAGCUGGUCUGAGAGGGUGACCAGCCACACUGGAACGGAGACACGGUCCAGACUCCUACGGGAGGCAGCAGUGGGGAAUAUUGCACAAUGGGCGCAAGCCUGAUGCAGCCAUGCCGCGUGUGUGAAGAAGGCCUUCGGGUUGUAAAGCACUUUCAGCGGGGAGGCGUUACCCGCAGAAGAAGCACCGGCUAACUCCGUGCCAGCAGCCGCGGUAAUUC